rnacentral:rRNA from 1 species
UGGGGAAUAUUGCACAAUGGAGGAAACUCUGAUGCAGCGACGCCGCGUGAACGAUGAAGGCUUUCGAGUCGUAAAGUUCUGUCCUAGGGGACGAUAAUGACGGUACCCUAGGAGGAAGCCCCGGCUAACUACGUGCCAGCAGCCGCGGUAAUACGUAGGGGGCAAGCGUUGUCCGGAUUUAUUGGGCGUAAAGGGUACGCAGGCGGCCUUUUAAGUCAGAUGUGAAAGAUCACGGCUCAACCGUGGUAAGCAUUUGAAACUGGAAGGCUUGAGUUAAGGAGAGGAAAGUGGAAUUCCUAGUGUAGCGGUGAAAUGCGUAGAUAUUAGGAGGAAUACCAGUGGCGAAGGCGACUUUCUGGACUUAUACUGACGCUGAGGUACGAAAGCGCGGGGAGCGAACAGGAUUAGAUACCCUGGUAGUCCACGCCGUAAACGAUGAGUGCUAGGUGUCGGGGGA